UACGUAGGCAGCGAGCGUUGUUCGGAGUUACUGGGCGUAAAGAGUGCGUAGGCGGUUUCGUAAGUCUGGUGUGAAAUCUCCCGGCUCAACUGGGAGGGUGCGCCGGAAACUGCGAGGCUGGAGUGUGGGAGAGGCAAGCGGAAUUCCGGGUGUAGCGGUGGAAUGCGUAGAGAUCCGGAAGAACACCGGUGGCGAAGGCGGCCUGCUGGGACAUGGCUGACGCUGAGGCGCGACAGCGUGGGGAGCAAACAGG
rnacentral:rRNA from 1 species